CCCAUGGAUCUCUCUCCCGUUCCCUCCAAGCUUCUCCAGUUCAAUAGAAAGUUAGAAACCACCACUUUUGCAGCUCCCAAAUACGGCGCCGCUGCUAGGAGUGGAAGAUGAACUACGAGGAGAGACUCAAAGCCGCUGCCACGAUCGUCCUCGCCGAAGACGCACGUUCAGCUCAGGUGCCGGUGAAUUGUGCAGAGUUUGGGGUGACGGCUACACUUAAACCCUACCAAGUCGAGGGGGUUUCUUGGCUCAUAAGGAGAUAUCAACUUGGGGCCAACGUCAUUCUCGGAGAUGAGAUGGGACUGGGGAAAACUCUGCAAGCUAUAGCUUUCUUGAGCUAUUUGAAGGUUUCCUGUGUAUCAUCUGGGCCAUUCGUGGUAUUGUGUCCUUUAAGUGUGACUGAUGGUUGGGUCUCGGAGAUGGUAAAAUUUACUCCCAAAUUGAAGGUCCUAAGGUAUGUUGGUGAUAAAGAACAGCGGCGUAGUCUACGUAGGACAAUGUAUGAGCAUGUAACAGAGCGGUUCUCAUCAUCUGGUGUUUCUUCUUUACCCUUUGAUGUCCUGUUGACAACAUAUGACAUAGCACUGAUGGAUCAGGAUUUUCUUUCUCAAAUUCCAUGGGACUAUGCUGUAAUUGAUGAAGCUCAAAGACUCAAAAAUCCUUCCAGUGUUCUUUAUAGUGUCCUCAUGGAGCACUUUCUCAUGCCAAGACGGUUGUUGAUGACUGGCACCCCUAUUCAGAAUAAUCUUACUGAACUAUGGAGUUUGAUGCACUUUUGCUCGCCUGCCGUGUUCGGGACACUGGAGCAAUUCCUUUGCAUGUUCAAGGAAGCUGUAGACCCUUUGUCAGGCGCUGAUGCAACCAAGGCGAAGGAAGAAUUUAAAACUUUAAAAUGGAUAUUGAGAGCUUUUAUGCUUCGAAGAACAAAAGCUAAGCUUAUAGAAUGCGGAAAUCUGGUGCUGCCUCCUCUUACAGAGAUAACUGUGAUGGCUCCACUAGUCAACCUGCAGAAAAAGGUUUAUAUUUCGAUAUUGAGGAAAGAACUUCCAAAACUUCUUGCAUUAUCAUCUGGAGCUUCUGGUCACCAAUCCUUGCAGAAUAUUGUAAUACAACUAAGGAAAGCUUGUAGUCAUCCUUACCUAUUUCCUGGUAUUGAGCUGGAACCAUAUGAAGAAGGUGAACAUUUGGUCCAGGCCAGCGGGAAACUCAUAAUAUUGGACCAACUUCUACGAAAAAUGCACAAUUCUGGGCAUCGCGUUCUUCUCUUUGCUCAAAUGACACACACACUUGACAUCUUGCAGGAUUUUUUGGAGUUAAGAAAAUAUUCCUAUGAGCGUCUUGACGGGUCUAUUCGGGCUGAGGAGCGGUUUGCUGCAAUAAGGAGUUUCUAUGGGCGGUCAGCUAAUGCGGAUUCCAAGUUUGCUGCUGACAAAGAUGGUGCCUUUGUUUUUAUGAUCUCCACUAGAGCUGGGGGAGUUGGAUUGAAUCUUGUAGCCACUGAUACGGUUAUAUUCUUUGAGCAAGAUUGGAAUCCGCAGGUGGACAAGCAGGCUCUGCAGCGAGCCCACCGGAUUGGGCAAAUGAAUCAUGUGUUGUCCAUAAACCUUGUCACGGGGCAUACUGUGGAAGAGGUUAUUAUGCGGAGGGCAGAGAGGAAGCUGCAGCUUAGCCAUAAUGUAAUGGGAGAUGAUGUUACGGACCUUGAAGCAAAAGAAAAGGCAGGAAUUGAAACUAGUGAUAUGCGAUCCAUAAUAUUAGGUUUACAGAGGUUUGAUCCUACAAAGCUCAACAAUGAAAAUUUAGGUGAAUCAAAAUUGUCUGAACUAAAUGCUAUGGUAGAGAGAGUGAUUGCAAUGCGCCAUGACCCAGUAAUCGACAAGGAUAAUAGGAAAAUUGAGCUUAAUUCGACCAAUUUAUCAAAUGGAUACGAUAUUCGUAUAGGAGGAAAUUCUGCUGCUGAUGGUUACGACCCUGAUCUCGAUGAGGCUUCAUAUCUUUCAUGGGUUGAAAAGUUCAAGGAGUCAUCGCAAUCAAUUGAUUUGGUCGAGGAUUUGAGAAGUGGAAGGAACUUACCUGAGGAUAGGCUUGCAAAACUUGAGGCUGCUAGGAACAAGGCAGAAGAAAAGAAGUUAUCUAAGUGGGAAGUCCAAGGAUACCAUUCCUUAAAUGUCAAAGGUGCUAUAAGCCCAGGGGAUUGCGAUAUCAUGUCUGAUGUGGGUUCUGUUCAUUUUGUUUAUGGAGAUUGUACGCACCCAUCACAAAUAUGCGCGUCUGAGCCUACUAUCAUUUUCAGUUGUGUUGACAACUCUGGAAAUUGGGGUCACGGAGGGGUGUUUGAUGCGCUGGCCAGACUUUCAGCAGAUGUUCCUGAUGCUUAUCAACGAGCUUCUGAAUUCGGGGACCUUAACCUUGGCGAUCUCCAUCUCAUUAGGAUUAAUGAAGAUUGUGGCAAACAAAAUAUGGAUGGUGACAAUCCUCAGUGGGUGGCUCUGGCUGUUGUCCAGUCAUAUAAUCCUAGGCGCAAAGUCCCUCGCAGUGAUAUUUCUAUUUCUGACUUGGAAGAUUGCUUGUUGAAGGUUUCAUAUUCAGCUGCUCAGAAUUCUGCUUCAAUCCACAUGCCUCGAAUUGGAUAUCAAGAUGGAUCAGAUCGCUCACUCUGGUAUACGGUGGAACGUCUUCUACGAAAAUAUGCUUCUGUUUAUGGCAUAAAGAUAUAUGUGUACUAUUUUCGCCGCACAUUAUAGGCUUGAGGGGUAAUUGUUGGUUGAGGAGGCCAGAUUAGCUCUUUCCAUUGGAGCAACUUCAGGUUCUAUGGCGGCAAAGCGCACUGUAGGACAAACAAUGGUUCGAUGAACCGUUCUGGUUCGGCCACUGCAUUCUCAGAUUCAUCAGCCUCCUUUGCCACUGAAAUCUUCAAAACGCACAACCAAAACUUCAACAUUAG